UUGUGGCCCCAAGUCAGGCUA
rnacentral:rRNA from 3 species